rnacentral:rRNA from 1 species
CAUAAUCAUUUGUCUCUUAAUUAGAGUCUGGAAUGAAUGGUUGGAUGAAAAAUUACCUUUCUUUAUUUUAAAUAAAAAAAUUAAUUUUUAAAUUAAAAAGUUUAAAUGAUUGUAUAGGACGAGAAGACCCUAUAGAACUUUAUCCCCCUUAGUUAAUUAUUUACUUGUAAAUAAUUUUUAUUUAUUUUAAGGGGGAUUUUGUUGGGGUGACAAAAAAAAUUUUAUAACUUUUUUUACUUAAUUCAUUAAUUUAUGUAUUUUUGAUCCUUUAUUAUGGAUAAAAGAUUAAGUUACCUUAGGGAUAACAGCGUUAUUGUUUUAGAGAGUUCAUAUCGAUAAAAUAGUUUGCGACCUCGAUGUUGGAUUAAAAUAAGUUUCAGGGGCAGAAAAUUGAUUAACUGGGUCUGUUCGACCUUUAAAUUUUUACAUGAUCUGAG